AAAAAAAAGAGUAUCUCAUCUUACAUGAAAUAGACAUAAUAUUCUUCCAAAACUAUACUCUUAACAAAACCAUAGAAAAAGUGCUAAUCUUUUGGCAUUAUUAAUGUUAUUGUAAGUCUAAAAUAUAUUCCUUAAAGUAUUUUGGUAGAUUUUUUAUCUGAUUUAGUUUGAGAAACUUAUAAAAAUACUGAAAUUUGGGUUAAUUUUUAUAAAAAUAUUGUCACACGGAAUUUUUUUCAAAAAUACUGUAGUUUUAUAAAACACCAGUAAAACACAAAGUAGAACAACUCAAAACAAAAAACACCAGUGAAAACUUAACACAAUAUACUGCAAUAUGAAACUUAUAAAAAAACACAGUAAAAAAUACCACCUGGCAGUAUUUUUAUAAAAAAUUAAGAAAAGUUAUUAUACUAUGUAAAUUUCCCUUUAGUUUUAUAAAAAAAAUUUAAUCUAAUUUAAUAUAUGGUAGUAUAUAUUAUAAUAUUAUUUCAAAAAAUUUACAGAAAGUUUUAAAAUAAGUGUGCAAUUAUGAAAAAAAAUUUAAACUAUAAACGUAUUGUAAAUACCGAAACUUUUGGGUCUAUUACAUAAAUUUUUAAAACUUUUGGCAUUAUUAUUGUAAAUGUUUUGGCAGUGUAAACAAACUGCCGACCUUGCAUGUAUGCCACGUGUCAUGAGAAGAGAAGAAUGAACGGUGAUGAUCAAAUUUGAAUCGUAUGAAUAGAAACAAAAGCAAAAAUAGUAAAAAUGAGGCGUGAUCUUUAUGGCUACCUGCACCUGCAAUAGCCGGUCACCAUCUUAUUUAUUAUUUAUAUUUUAAAUUAAAUAAAUGCAAAGUCUUUUUUUUUUUGAAAUUUUUACAUCAAAAAUCCAAUUUACUCAAUUUAUUACAAAAAAAUCCCUACACGCUUACAUCAUCAUUUUUACCUUUCUUCUUUCUUUUAUUACAAUUAUACCACUUACACAUCAAUUCCAUGCAUGCAGCCACGUGAUUGAUUGAUGACUUAUAUCAAUCACAUCUUACAUCAUUCACUUAUCUUUUUCUCUUCUUCCUUUUUUUUUUAUUAUUUUCAAUUUCUUUUCAGUUUUUUUUUUUUUUAAAUAAAACCUCCAUAGCUGAACUCUUCUCCUCCCUUUUGCCAAAGAAAAGUUCUAAAAUGGGGUUGAAAUCUGUAGCUAAUAGGAAUAAGACGAUAACUCCGAUUUUGCUUCUCAACUGUCGAAACGUGAGCAAGCUCCUCCUAAAAAAAAUCAAAGGUUGCUGCCCAGGAAAAAAUUCAUCAAGAUAAUGCUUAAAAAAUGAUUAAGAUGGAGCUGGUCUUCGAUCUCAGAUCAUUGCAGGUCUUCUUUUCCAGUUGAUUUCGCCAGAAUUAAUAGUUGUAUUUUUAUCGUUUUGGUUUCAUUUUGGUUGUUUUGCGGUUUUGAAACGAUCGCGGUAUUUUCACCUUCAUGGUUCGCUCUGUACAGCUGAAGGCUUAGUGAAUGUGGUAUUUUUGUAAAUAUUUGUAUGUGGACUGUAUAAAUAUUUAAUGGGCCGGCCCAAAGUAUUUUUGUAAUUUUUUUUC